UUGGUCCACCUUGGUCAAUAUGGAACGUUUAUGUAUCCUUCCCAUGCUUUUUCGUGUUUGUCAGUUGCUUCUGACAUUGAAUAAUUUUCCUUCAACAGAUUUGUGCCCUGUUGUUACAUCUGCCAAAGGUAUCUCAAGCAGACACAGGCAGAGUCACAGACACCUUUCGUUGAACCAGGGAACAUCACAAACCAAUCCAAGUUGAAGAGAGCAGCUGCUUGAAGAUAGUAUGCAGUUGGCCAGGCGGGAGAUAUUGAUUGAGCUUGCAUGGCAUCUCCAAGUGCUUCUUGUGCCAUGUCAUUCAUCAGGUAGCAUAAGCAGCGCCUGGCAUACACG